rnacentral:rRNA from 1 species
CUGAAUAUCUUCGCUGAUCGCACGGUCUCGUACCGGCGACGCAUCUUUCAAGUGUCUGCCUUAUCAACUUUCGAUGGUAGUUUAUAUGACUACCAUGGUUGUAACGGGUAACGGAGAAUAAGGGUUCGACUCCGGAGAGGGAGCCUGAGAAACGGCUACCACAUCCAAGGAAGGCAGCAGGCGCGCAAAUUACCCACUCUCAGCACGAGGAGGUAGUGACGAAAAAUAACGAGUCGGUUCUCUAUGAGGCCCGAUAUCGGAAUGGGUACAAUUUAAACCCUUUAACGAGGACCUAUGAGAGGGCAAGUCUGGUGCCAGCAGCCGCGGUAAUUCCAGCUCUCAAGGUGUAUAUCGCCAUUGCUGCGGUUAAAAA